AGAUGGUCAUUCUGAGUUUAAGGGAAAAAGAUGAAGGCAUGAAGAUCUACUAGGAGAUUGUGAAGGUGAAACUGAGGAACAGAGUGGUUAAGACACUUUUCCAAGGCCACAUAGGUGAUGAGUGGCAAAACCAGGACUGGAACCUGUGGAAGAUUGGAUUAUUGUUCAAACAUACUCAUGUUCUCACCCACAACUCCAGGGUAGGAGUAUACUAGCCCAUCCCACUGAUGUUGGGCUCGGCUACGUGACUUGCUUUGGUCUCCUGGUAGGUGGGCUGUACUUUGCCACUCGUUGCCUUUGAUCUCGGCCAUAGACUUGAAUUGGCCAGUGGGAUAUUAGCAGAAAUGAUGCAAGCAGAGACUUGAAAUGUGCUCAUGUGAUUGGGCUUGUCCUCUUGCAUUUCUGCUAUUAUCAUGGUGAGAAGAACAUGCCCUAGUUAACCCACUGAUCUGAAGAGGAAGAGACAUGUCAAGCAGACCUAGACUCAGCCAACAGCGUGAAGCUAAGCCCAGCUGAGCCCAGCCGAGAUCAGCGGAGCCACGCCAGCUGACCCACAGAUGGAGUCCUCGACAAGUUGCCUUUUGUAUCCAGAGUAUUUAGUUGUAAUCACUGUAUUAUAAGUAUUUAGUUAUAAUCAUUGGGAGAGAGAGAAGGUAGUGGGCUGAUUGCAACUUGGCCAGCACUGGAAGUCCUGAUUUGUGUUUUGAAAAGAUCAAUCUAUGGACCAAGGCCUGGUGGAGAAGAACUUCGUGUUAUUGAGACAGGAUGCAUAUCAUUUGGGCAAAGUCUUCAAUAUAAAAGAUGUUAUCAAGGAGCAGGUUGCUGGCUUAUCAAGAAGAAGAAUGAAUGCCCAGGAAGUGGGAUAUAGAGGAUCAAAGAAGAAUUCUUUUUGAGAUGCCAACAGCGCUAUCCCUACCAGUUCUGUGGGCUGCACUCACUGAGAUGGCAAAACCAAAGAGGAAGGAGAAAUCGUUGCUUCCUAACGGCACUUGGGAGCAUCCAGCAGCACACAACAUCUGCUUCUUAGCUUGAGAAGCCUCUAAGGUUGGAAAAUCUAUUCUGUUGUAGACUUUGGACAGCUCCAUAUAUUCCUCCCUGUGUGAUAUUCAUUUAUGAAGAAAACAUAUUUCUAUUUAAUUCUUAGCUUAAUAUGAAAAUCUGUAAAAUAGAGUCAUAUAUUCAUGUCCCACACUAAGCUAAUCUGAUAUUUGAACAUUUGGAUUAAGAUAAAAUAGUGUUUUCAUUAUAAAAAUGUUCACUGUUUACUUUAAAUAGUAACUUUUUCUGGUGUACAUUAAAAUAUAAUUAAAUUCUCAGUUGACUUCA